CACCCAGAAGAACACCAUUCUGGUUUCACCAGGGGGGGUUUGUUUCUCCAUGGAUUUGGGGGUGUCUGGGAUCAGUUUUUGGGGCUCUCCAUGGAUUUGGGGUGUCUGGGAUCAGUUCUUGGGGCUCUCCAUGGAUUUGGGGUGUCUGGGAUCAGUUCUUGGGGUUCUCCAUGGAUUUGGGGGCUCUCCAUGGAUUUGGGGUGUCUGGGAUCAGUUCUUGGGGCUCUCCAUGGAUUUGGGGUGUCAGGGAUCAGUUUUUGGGGCUCCCCAUGGAUUUGGGGUGUCCCUCUCCCAGCCCCAGCAGCAGCACCUGGCCCUGGCCCGGGAUUUGGCGGAUCACAUGGAACAGUUUUUGGGGGGUCUGAUAGUGGGGUUUUGGGGGUCUGGGAUCAGUUUUUGGGGGCUCUCCAUGGAUUUGGGGUGUCAGGGAUCAGUUUUUGGGGCUCUCUAUGGAUUUUGGGGUGUCAGGGAUCAGUUUUUGGGGCUCUCCAUGGAUUUGGGGGCUCUCCAUGGAUUUGGGGUGUCUGGGAUCAGUUUUUGGGGCUCUCUAUGGAUUUUGGGGUGUCUGGGAUCAGUUUUUGGGGCUCUCCAUGGAUUUGGGGUGUCUGGGAUCAGUUUUUGGGGCUCUCCAUGGAUUUGGGGUGUCCCUCUCCCAGCACCAGCCCCAGCACCUGGCCCUGGCCCGGGAUUUGGGAGAUCACAUGGAACAGUUUUUGGGGGGUCUGAUAGUGGGUUUUGGGGGGUUUUUGGGGGUCUGGGAUCAGUUUUUGGGGCUCUCCAUGGAUUUUGGGGUGUCUGGGAUCAGUUUCUGAGGUUCUCCAUGGAUUUGGGGCUCUCCAUGGAUUAUGGGUGUCAGGGAUCAGUUUUUGGGGCUCUCCAUGGAUUUGGGGGGUCUGGGAUCAGUUUUUGGGGCUCUCCAUGGAUUUGGGGUGUCAGGGAUCAGUUUUUGGGGCUCUCCAUGGAUUUGGGGUGUCUGGGAUCAGUUUUUGGGGCUCUCCAUGGAUUUGGGGUGUCUGGGAUCAGUUUUUGGGGCUCUCCAUGGAUUUGGGGUGUCAGGGAUCAGUUUUUGGGGCUCCCCAUGGAUUUUGGGGCUCUCCAUGGAUUUGGGGGGUCUGGGAUCAGUUUUUGGGGCUCUCCAUGGAUUUGGGGUGUCAGGGAUCAGUUUUGGGGGCUCUCUAUGGAUUUUGGGGUGUCUGGGAUCAGUUUUUGGGGCUCUCCAUGGAUUUGGGGUGUCUGGGAUCAGUUUUUGG
rnacentral:lncRNA from 1 species